UGAACCACUUCGGUGGGGAUUAGUGGCGAACGGGUGAGUAACACGUGGGCAAUCUGCCCUGCACUCUGGGACAAGCCCUGGAAACGGGGUCUAAUACCGGAUACGACCAUCUUGGGCAUCCUUGAUGGUGGAAAGCUCCGGCGGUGCAGGAUGAGCCCGCGGCCUAUCAGCUUGUUGGUGAGGUAAUGGCUCACCAAGGCGACGACGGGUAGCCGGCCUGAGAGGGCGACCGGCCACACUGGGACUGAGACACGGCCCAGACUCCUACGGGAGGCAGCAGUGGGGAAUAUUGCACAAUGGGCGAAAGCCUGAUGCAGCGACGCCGCGUGAGGGAUGACGGCCUUCGGGUUGUAAACCUCUUUCAGCAGGGAAGAAGCGAAAGUGACGGUACCUGCAGAAGAAGCGCCGGCUAACUACGUGCCAGCAGCCGCGGUAAUACGUAGGGCGCAAGCGUUGUCCGGAAUUAUUGGGCGUAAAGAGCUCGUAGGCGGCUUGUCACGUCGGUUGUGAAAGCCCGGGGCUUAACCCCGGGUCUGCAGUCGAUACGGGCAGGCUAGAGUUCGGUAGGGGAGAUCGGAAUUCCUGGUGUAGCGGUGAAAUGCGCAGAUAUCAGGAGGAACACCGGUGGCGAAGGCGGAUCUCUGGGCCGAUACUGACGCUGAGGAGCGAAAGCGUGGGGAGCGAACAGGAUUAGAUACCCUGGUAGUCCACGCCGUAAACGGUGGGCACUAGGUGUGGGCAACAUUCCCACGUUGUCCGUGCCGCA
rnacentral:rRNA from 1 species